rnacentral:rRNA from 1 species
UACAGAGGUCUCAAGCGUUGUUCGGAUUCAUUGGGCGUAAAGGGUGUGUAGGUGGCGCGCUAAGUCGGAUGUGAAAUUUCGGAGCUUAACUCCGAAACUGCAUUCGAUACUGGCGUGCUUGAGGACUGGAGAGGAGACUGGAAUUUACGGUGUAGCAGUGAAAUGCGUAGAUAUCGUAAGGAAGACCAGUGGCGAAGGCGGGUCUCUGGACAGUUCCUGACACUGAGACACGAAGGCCAGGGGAGCAAACGGG